GACGAACGCUGGCGGCGUGCUUAACACAUGCAAGUCGAACGGAAAGGCCUGCAGCUUGCUGCGGGUACUCGAGUGGCGAACGGGUGAGUAACACGUGGGUGAUCUGCCUUUCACUUCGGGAUAAGUUUGGGAAACUGGGGCUAAUACCGGAUAGGACAUCUGAUUAGUGUCAGUUGUGGAAAGUUUCUUCGGUGCAAGAUGAGCUGGAUGCCUAUCAGCUUGUUGGUGGGGUAAUGGACUACAAAGGCUUCGACGGCUAGCCGGCCUGAGAGGGUGUACGGCCACAUUGGGACUGAGAUACGGCGCAGACUCCUACGGGAGGCAGUAGUGGGGAAUAUUGCACAAUGGGCGGAAGCCUGAUGUAGCGACGCCGCGUGCGGGAUGAAGGCCUUCGGGUUGUAAACUCCUUUCGACAGGGACGAAGCUUUUGUGACGGUACCUGUAUAAGAAGCACCGGCUAACUACGUG
rnacentral:rRNA from 1 species